rnacentral:rRNA from 1 species
GACGAACGCUGGCGGCGUGCUUAACACAUGCAAGUCGAACGGAAAGGCCCUGCUUUUGUGGGGUGCUCGAGUGGCGAACGGGUGAGUAACACGUGAGUAACCUGCCCUUGACUUUGGGAUAACUUCAGGAAACUGGGGCUAAUACCGGAUAGGAGCUCCUGCUGCAUGGUGGGGGUUGGAAAGUUUCGGCGGUUGGGGAUGGACUCGCGGCUUAUCAGCUUGUUGGUGGGGUAGUGGCUUACCAAGGCUUUGACGGGUAGCCGGCCUGAGAGGGUGACCGGCCACAUUGGGACUGAGAUACGGCCCAGACUCCUACGGGAGGCAGCAGUGGGGAAUAUUGCACAAUGGGCGGAAGCCUGAUGCAACAACGCCGCGUGCGGGAUGACGGCCCUUUCGG